rnacentral:rRNA from 1 species
UAUCUCUGUAGAGUCUGCAUAUCAAUAAGCGGAGGAAAAGAAACUAACAAGGAUUCCCUUAGUAACGGCGAGUGAAGCGGGAAGAGCUCAAAUUUGGAAUCUUCAAGGUUUUACCUUGACGAAUUGUAGUUUAAAGAAGUGUUUUCUGUUGGAGUUUUGGUAAAAGUUCUUUGGAAUAGGACAUCAUAGAGGGUGAGAAUCCCGUAUUUGACCAUUAUUUCCAGCUUUGUGAUACACUUUCAAAGAGUCGGAUUGUUUGGGAAUGCAGUCCAAAAUGGGUGGUAAAUUUCAUCUAAAGCUAAAUAUUGGCGAGAGACCGAUAGCGAACAAGUACCGUGAGGGAAAGAUGAAAAGAACUUUGAAAAGAGAGUUAAACAGUACGUGAAAUUGUCAAAAGGGAAGCGUUUGACACCAGUGUUGCUUUUCUCGAAAAUCAAUUAAUGAUGGCCUGAUUUGUAGGUUGUAUUGACUUUAUCAGCAUUACUGUCUAGCUUUUUCUUGUCUUUUGUGAAUGCACUUUUCGUUUAACAAGUCAACAUCAAUUUCUUUUGUUGUAAAAGAGUCAUUGGAAGGUGGCUUUCACUUCGGUGAAAGUGUUUAUAGCCUUCGACUUCUGCAAUCGGAGAGAUUGAGGUCUGCAGCGUAGAUCCUUCGGGGUUAGAUACAUUUGUGCUAAGUUAUAGUUUUUCAUAGACAACAUGUUGACUAUGAUUAAUCAUGUAGCUUACUCGCUUAUGCUAUUUUACCUACGCUUAGGAUGUUGAUGUGAUACUGCGAGCA